AUGAAAAAAAAGAGUUCACAAAAUAUAAUACAUGAGACUCCAUAAUGGAUAAAACUAUACACUUUGGUGGUGUUAGAAGCUGGAUUAUGUCCUCCCUCCAAAUUCAUGUGUUGAAAUCUAACCCACAGUACCUCAGUAUGUGACCAUAUUUGGAGAUAGUCUUUAAAGAUGUUUCUAAGGUAACGGGGAUGAUUAGUGUAGGCCCUAAUCCAAUAUGGCUGGUGUCUUUAUAAGAAGUGAUUAGGACACAGACACACACAGCAGAAAGACAACGUGAAGACACUUGAAAUGAAAAUGGCCAUCUCUGAGCUAAGGAAAGAGACUCAGAAGAAACUAACCGUGAUGACACCUUGGUCUCAGACUUACAGCCUCCAGAAUUAUGGUAGACAGAUAGAUAGAUAGAUAAUCAUAAUCAAUAUGUAGAUACAUAGAUUUUUUUUUAACAAUUCACUACUGAAUGUCAUUAGGAGAUACGGCCAAUUGCAGAGUGAAGCAAUAAAUUAUGAUCUAUUCUCUUAUAGAAGCCAAAAACAGAAAUAAGGAGAAUAUUAAUUUAAAAUUCAAAUUAAGCAUGGGGGACGGUGCGUGCCCUGAUGGGGUGCGCAGAGCGAGCGAGGAGGCACGGAGUCGCCGCAGAGCUCGGGGUUUCUUGACGACAUGGACAAUGUAAAUUUGCAUUCUUGAUCCAGGUAAGAGGAAGGAAGUGGCAUCCAAUCCUCUGAGUUCUGAUCUCCCAGCCUUGACCUGCAAGUUUUUUUGUUUGCUUUCCUGUUGCAUCUUUGAUACCAUUUCCUAGAGGCUGCCCCAUGGUUUAACUUGCAAUUCUGAAAUGAAGAUGGAGGCAGUGGGAAAAGUCGAAGAACUCAUUGAAUCUGAAGUCCCACCAGAAACAUCUCAACAAGAGACAGCAAAGGAGGAAGAUGAAUCUGUAGAACUGGAAUCUCAAGUUCAGAAGGAUGGUGUAGCAGAUUCUACAGUUCUUUCUUCAAUGCCCUGCUUGUUGAUGGAGCUGAGAAGAGACUCUUCUGAGUCUCAGCAUCCACAGAGCGUGACAAGCCUACAAUCGGCCGAGUUUAUGAGAGUGACUCCUCUAAUCACUGCAUGCUUUCCCCUUCCUCUAGUGAUCACCUGGCUGAUUCAGACACGUUGUCUUCCGCAGAAGAGAAUGAACCCUCUCAGGCAGAAACGGCGGUAGAAGGAGACCCUUCAGGAGUGUCUGGUGCCACAGUUGGGCGCAAGCCUAGGCGGUCCCGUUUCGAAAGUGAAACAUCCACUAUGGCUGCCAAGAAAAACUAGCAAUCCGGUGAUAAACAGAAUGGGUUAAAGGUCAUGGGAGCCAAAAGCACAAGGAGAGGAUCAGGCUACUGAGGCACAAACAGGAGGUUGCUGCAAGGAAGAAAUACAACCUGCUGUAGGACAGUAAGUAGUACCAGUGAUAGUGACCUGACUUGUGACUCAAGCACGAGCUCAUCAGGUGAUGAUGAAGAGGUUUCAGGGAGCAGCAAGACAAUCACUGCAGAGAUACCAGAUGGACCUCCAUUUGUAGCUCAUUAUGAUAGGCCUGACACCAGCUCUGAUCCAAAAGUGGUAAAUGUGUUGGCAAUUUAUUGGCAGCUGCAGUAGUUCAAGAGCACAAUAAUUCUAUAUGCAGCCAGGACACGGGAGCUACCUGGAGGACCAGCCAGCUUCUACAGGAGCUGAAUGCAGAAGCAGGUCAUUUGCAUCCAGGAUUCCUAGCAAGUGAUAAAACAUCUGCCGGCAAUGCACUGCUCAAUUAAGAAAUCAAUAUUGCCUCUUCAGAUAGUGAAGCAGAGAUUGGGGGAGUUCAGGAACAUGCAAGUUGUGUUCAUCCUCGAGGUGGUGUGAUUCUGAGUGUUUCUUCAUGGAAGCAUGGCUCGGACACACAGUAUCUUAGCACCAAGCAGACACAGUCAUGGAACUGAUGUGAGCCCCCAGCAGACUUGGACUUCACCAGCAGAAGUUGUUGACCUUACCUUGGAUGAGGAUAGCAGGCGUAAAUACAUACUGUGAUACAAUGUCACUGUGUUUCUUCGGCACUGUUCCCUUCCAAUUCCUCACCUUCUUUGUGACACAGAAGUUCAUUGUCAUGGCUUCAGCUUCAGAAGCUGUUUGUGGCAUUUGUAGGAUUCAAACUCAUGGAAAAUUUUGUCCUCUCCUCCUUUUUUUAAUUAAAAGAAGUCACUUAGGAAAAAAAUGUAAAUUAAAUUUAAAUAACCUGAAAAACAAUGAUGUGAGAAAGUCCUAAAUUUUUACAUUCUGGCAUUCAAUAUAACACUUUUAUCCAUUUCAGCAUCACAUAGGCAUUUAAAGGGAAUUAAAUAUCUCUGGAACACAAGCAACAAAAUUCAAAAAGUUAAACAAGUUAAUUAAUAAUGUGUG